rnacentral:rRNA from 1 species
GUACGUAGGGUGCAAGCGUUAAUCGGAAUUACUGGGCGUAAAGCGUGCGCAGGCGGUUUGUAAGCCAGAUGUGAAAGCCCCGGGCUUAACCUGGGAAUGGCAUUUGAGACUGCAUAGCUAGGGUGCGGAAGAGGGAAGCGGAAUUUCCGGUGUAGCGGUGAAAUGCGUAGAUAUCGGAAGGAACAUCAGUGGCGAAGGCGACUUCCUGGACCAAUACUGACGCUCAGGUGGCGAAAAGCGUGGGGAGCAAACAGG